GCUUACGGCCAUACCACCCUGAACGCGCCCGAUCUCGUCCGAUCUCGUAAGCUAAGCAGGGUCGGGCCUGGUUAGUACUUGGAUGGGAGACCGCCUGGGAAUACCAGGUGCUGUAAGCC
rnacentral:rRNA from 15 species